rnacentral:rRNA from 1 species
UGCCAGACUCCUACGGGAGGCAGCAGUGGGGAAUAUUGCACAAUGGGGGAAACCCUGAUGCAGCGACGCCGCGUGAGUGAAGAAGUCUUUCGGUAUGUAAAGCUCUCUCAGCAGGGAAGAAAAUGACGGUACCUGACUAAGAAGCCCCGGCUAACUACGUGCCAGCAGCCGCGGUAAUACGUAGGGGGCAAGCGUUAUCCGGAUUUACUGGGUGUAAAGGGAGCGUAGACGGCAUGGCAAGUCAGAUGUGAAAGCCCGGGGCUCAACCCCGGGACUGCAUUUGAAACUGUCAGGCUGGAGUGCAGGAGAGGUAAGUGGAAUUCCUAGUGUAGCGGUGAAAUGCGUAGAUAUUAGGAGGAACACCAGUGGCGAAGGCGGCUUACUGGACUGUAACUGACGUUGAGGCUCGAAAGCGUGGGGAGCAAACAGGAUUAGAUACCCCCGUAA